AGAACUGUUCCUUCUCAGGAGGAAGCUGCAUUGAAGAUGAUGAAAGGAACAUGUCUGAACACGCAGGAUCUUCAGGAGAAUCCAUCCUCAACAUACAGGAUUCUGAAGACUAUCCACCUUCAAGAUCACCAUCAUUUCCUAUAGUUUCAGAAUUAUCCGCCAAUUAUAGUGUUUCAGUCACAUCAUGUAUGUCACAUAGCCACAGUAUAUCACCUGUAGCAAAAAG